rnacentral:rRNA from 1 species
UACGGAGGGUGCGAGCGUUAAUCGGAAUUACUGGGCGUAAAGCGCAUGCAGGUGGUUCAUUAAGUCAGAUGUGAAAGCCCGGGGCUCAACCUCGGAACUGCAUUUGAAACUGGUGAACUAGAGUACUGUAGAGGGGGGUAGAAUUUCAGGUGGUAGCGGUGAAAUGCGUAGAGAUCUGAAGGAAUACCAGUGGCGAAGGCGGCCCCUGGACAGCAUACUGACACUCAGAUGCGAAAGCGUGGGGAGCAAACAGGAUUAGAUACCCCUGUAGUCC